rnacentral:sRNA from 1 species
AAUCAUCGAUGCAAUUUCUUGACAGCAUGGAAUCGCCCCCUCAUCAAUGGUUCGAUGACGU